rnacentral:rRNA from 1 species
GAUGAACGCUGGCGGCGUGCCUAAUACAUGCAAGUCGAGCGAACAGACGAGGAGCUUGCUCCUCUGACGUUAGCGGCGGACGGGUGAGUAACACGUGGAUAACCUACCUAUAAGACUGGGAUAACUUCGGGAAACCGGAGCUAAUACCGGAUAAUAUAUUGAACCGCAUGGUUCAAUAGUGAAAGACGGUUUUGCUGUCACUUAUAGAUGGAUCCGCGCCGCAUUAGCUAGUUGGUAAGGUAACGGCUUACCAAGGCAACGAUGCGUAGCCGACCUGAGAGGGGGAUCGGCCACACUGGAACUGAGCCCGGUGCCAGACCCCUAGGGGAGGCAGCAGUAGGGAAUCUUCCGCAAGGGGCGAAAGCCUGACGGAGCAACGCCGCGGGAGUGAUGAAGGUCUUCGGAUCGUAAAACUCUGUUAUUAGGGAAGAACAAAUGUGUAAGUAACUAUGCACGUCUGGACGGUACCUAAUCAGAAAGCCACGGCUAACUACGU